rnacentral:rRNA from 1 species
AUUGAACGCUGGCGGCAUGCCUUACACAUGCAAGUCGAACGGUAACAGGUCUUCGGAUGCUGACGAGUGGCGAACGGGUGAGUAAUACAUCGGAACGUGCCUAGUAGUGGGGGAUAACUACUCGAAAGAGUGGCUAAUACCGCAUGAGAUCUACGGAUGAAAGCAGGGGAUCGCAAGACCUUGUGCUACUAGAGCGGCCGAUGGCAGAUUAGGUAGUUGGUGGGAUAAAAGCUUACCAAGCCGACGAUCUGUAGCUGGUCUGAGAGGACGAUCAGCCACACUGGGACUGAGACACGGCCCAGACUCCUAUGGGCGGCAGCAGUGGGGAACUUUGGACAAUGGGCGCAAGCCUGAUGCAGCAAUGCCGCGUGCAGGAUGCAGGCAUUCUGUUUGUAAACUGCUUUUGUACGGAACGAAAAGCCCUGGGUUAAUACCCUGGGGUCAUGACGGUACCGUAAGAAUAAGCACCGGCUAACUACGUGCCAGCCGCCGCAGUAA